rnacentral:rRNA from 1 species
AACGAACGCUGGCGGCAGGCUUCAUACAUGCAAGUCGAGCGCGAACGUCCCUUCGGGGGCUAGUAGAGCGGCGGACGGGUGAGUAACAGGUGGAUAACCUGCCCUUCGGCGGGGACAACGGUUGGAAACGACCGCUAAUACCGCGUACGUUCGCUUUGUCACAAGGCAGAGCGGAAGAAGGCGCUUCAAGCGCCACCGAAGGAUGGGUCCGCCUCCCAUUAGCUAGUUGGUGAGAUAACAGCCCACCAAGGCAACGAUGGGUAGCCGAGCUGAGAGGUUGAUCGGCCACACUGGGACUGAGACACGGCCCAGACACCUACGGGUGGCAGCAGUAGGGAAUAUUGGACAAUGGGCGCAAGCCUGAUCCAGCCAUGCCGCGUGGAGGAUGAAGGCCUCGGUCGU